UCGCUGGUCAAAAGUGGGUGUUACAUGUGUACACCAGUGAUGGACGAUAGUUAGAAAAUUAAGCAAAAAACGGUAGCAGAGCACAUAGCUGGAGAUGCGAGGCAGAACUGCAAGCAGCGUGCGGUGCUGGGCCAAGGUGUGGUGGUAAUUUAUGAGUGGCCAAAUAUGCAUUUGUGUAUGAUUGCAGAAAAAUUCAACAUAUUCUUGCCUGCAUUUGGUUUGUGUCGGGGAUGGUCUUAGCUGUAUCCACUGGAGAAUUUUAACUUCUCAUCCCACCGACUGAAUCGUCGCGGACAUGACAGUGGCAAUGUUGUCGGAGCAGAGAGGAGCACCCAACCUCAUUCUCGCAUCUUCGUACAUGCCAUACGAUGUACACGAACCACCGUGAAUAUCCUUCAGGAAACUCACCACCUGGACGGAGCAAAGGCAUAAGUAUGU